rnacentral:rRNA from 1 species
AUUGAACGCUGGCGGCAUGCUUUACUCAUGCAAGUCGAGCGGCAGCACGGACGUCGGUCUGGUGGCGAGUGGCGAACGGGUGAGUAAUACAUCGGAACGUGCCCAGUUGUGGGGGAUAACUACUCGAAAGAGUAGCUAAUACCGCAUGAGAACUGAGGUUGAAAGCAGGGGAUCGUAAGACCUUGCGCAACUGGAGCGGCCGAUGGCAGAUUAGGUAGUUGGUGGGAUAAAAGCUUACCAAGCCUACGAUCUGUAGCUGGUCUGAGAGGACGACCAGCCACACUGGGACUGAGACACGGCCCAGACUCCUACGGGAGGCAGCAGUGGGGAAUUUUGGACAAUGGGCGAAAGCCUGAUCCAGCAAUGCCGCGUGCAGGAUGAAGGCCUUCGGGUUGUAAACUGCUUUUGUACGGAACGAAAAGCUUCGGGUUAAUACCCUGGAGUCAUGACGGUACCGUAAGAAUAAGCACCGGCUAACUACGUGCCAGCAGCCGCCGUAA